GCCGAGGUACUCAAGCGGUCAACGAGAGCGGUCUGUAAAACCGUUGCCUUUAUGGCUACGUAGGUUCGAACCCUACCCUCGGCACCA
rnacentral:tRNA from 1 species